GGGCCCGCACAAGCGGUGGAGCAUGUGGUUUAAUUCGAUGAUACGCGAGGAACCUUACCAGGGCUUAAAUGUAGAGUGACAGGUCUAGAGAUAGAUUUUUCUUCGGACACUUUACAAGGUGCUGCAUGGUUGUCGUCAGCUCGUGCCGUGAGGUGUCAGGUUAAGUCCUAUAACGAGCGCAACCCUUGUCGUUAGUUGCCAGCAAGUAAAGUUGGGGACUCUAGCGAGACUGCCGGUGCAAACCGAGAGGAAGGUGGGGAUGACGUCAAAUCAUCACGGCCCUUACGUCCUGGGCUACACACGUGCUACAAUGGUAUGGACAAUGAGCAGCCACUACGCGAGUAGGAGCGAAUCUAGAAAAUUCUUCGUAGUCCGGAUUGGAGUCUGCAACUCGACUCCAUGAAGUCGGAAUC
rnacentral:rRNA from 1 species